rnacentral:rRNA from 1 species
GACGUAGGGCGCGAGCGUUGUCCGGAUUUAUUGGGCGUAAAGAGCUCGUAGGCGGCUUGUUGCGUCGACCGUGAAAACCCGCGGCUUAACUGUGGGCUUGCGGUCGAUACGGGCGGGCUGGAGUUCGGUAGGGGAGACUGGAAUUCCUGGUGUAGCGGUGAAAUGCGUAGAGAUCGGGAAGAACACCCGUGGCGAAGGCGGUUCUCUGGGACGGUACUGACGCUGAGACGCGAAAGCGUGGGGAGCGAACAGG